rnacentral:tRNA from 1 species
GCACAGUUGCCCUAGGGCGUCUAUGUGUGCCGCUGUGGGCGGCGUUGUUCCGUCGUUCCAGUCGGCGUUCGUGCU